rnacentral:tRNA from 1 species
GCCCGGGUGGCGAAAUCGGCAGACGCGGCGGACUUAAAAUCCGCUGUCCCUUCGGGGGCGUGGGGGUUCGAGACCCUCCCCGGGCACCA